GUUAGGGUUACGGUUGGGGUAGGGUUAGGCUUAGGGUAAGUUUAGGGCAAGGGUAGGGUUAGGGUUAGCAUGACGGUUAGGGUUAGGGUUUGGGUUAGGGUUUGGGUUACAGUUAGGGUCAGGGUUGGGGUAAGGUUAGGGUUAGGGUUAGGGUUAGGGUGAGGGUUAGGGUUAGGGUUAGUGUAGGGUUAGGGUUAGGGUUAGGGUUAGGGUUAGGGUUAGGGUUAGGGUUAGGGUUAGGGUUAGGGUUUAGAGUAGGGUUAGGGUUAGGGUUAGGGUGAGGGUUACGGUUAGGGUUAGGGUUAGGGUUACGGUUAGGGUUAGGGUUAGGGUUAGGGUUAGGGUUAGGAUUAGGGUUAGGGUUAGGGUUAGGGUUAGGGUUACGGUUAGGGUUAGGGUUAGGGUUAGGGUUAGGGUUAGGGUUAGGGUUAGGGUUUGGGUUUGGGUUGGGUUUUGUGUUAGGGUUAUUGUAAGGUUAGGGUUAGGGUUAGGAUUAGGGUAAGGGUUUAAGUUUAGGGUUAGGGUUAGGGUUAGGGUUAGGGUUAGGUUAGGGUCAUUUUCGGUUAAAUGGGGGAUUUGCGAAGAUGAAAAUGCGUGAUUUUCGCUUAAAUGGGGGAUUUUCGAAGAGAAAACGCGUGAUUUUCGCUUAAAUGGGGGAUUUGCGAAAACGCGUGAUUUUCGGUUAAAUGGGGGAUUCUCGAAGAGAAAACGCGUGAUUUUCACUUAAAUGGGGGAUUCUCAAAGAGAAAAUGCGUGAUUUUCACUUAAAUGGGAAAUUUGCAUAGAGGAAACAUGUUAUUUUCACUUAAAUGGGGGAUUCUCGAAGAGAAAACGCGUGAUUUUGGCUUAAAUGGGGGAUUCUCGAAGAGAAAACGCGUGAUUUUCGCUUAAAUGGGG
ensembl:lncRNA